GCGGGCGUAGCUCAAUGGUAGAGCCGGGCGCUUCCAACGCUCAGACGCGGGUUCGAUUCCCGCCGCCCGCU
rnacentral:tRNA from 1 species